UAACAAGGUCUCCGUUGGUGAACCAGCGGAGGGAUCAUUACUGAGUUUACGCUCUACAACCCUUUGUGAACAUACCUAUAACUGUUGCUUCGGCGGGUAGGGUCUCCGCGACCCUCCCGGCCUCCCGCCUCCGGGCGGGUCGGCGCCCGCCGGAGGAUAACCAAACUCUGAUUUAACGACGUUUCUUCUGAGUGGUACAAGCAAAUAAUCAAAACUUUUAACAACGGAUCUCUUGGUUCUGGCAUCGAUGAAGAACGCAGCGAAAUGCGAUAAGUAAUGUGAAUUGCAGAAUUCAGUGAAUCAUCGAAUCUUUGAACGCACAUUGCGCCCGCCAGCAUUCUGGCGGGCAUGCCUGUUCGAGCGUCAUUUCAACCCUCAAGCUCUGCUUGGUGUUGGGGCCCUACAGCUGAUGUAGGCCCUCAAAGGUAGUGGCGGACCCUCUCGGAGCCUCCUUUGCGUAGUAACUUUACGUCUCGCACUGGGAUCCGGAGGGACUCUUGCCGUAAAACCCCCAAUUUUCCAAAGGUUGACCUCGGAUCAGGUAGGAAUACCCGCUGAACUUAAGCAUAUCAAUA
rnacentral:rRNA from 1 species